rnacentral:rRNA from 1 species
UACGUAGGGUGCAAACGUUGUCCGGAAUUAUUGGGCGUAAAGAGCUCGUAGGCGGUUUGUCGCGUCUGCUGUGAAAACGCGAGGCUCAACCUCGCGCCUGCAGUGGGUACGGGCAGACUAGAAGUGCGGUAGGGGGAGAUUGGAAUUCCUGGUGGUAGCGGUGGAAUGCGCAGGAUAUCAGGAGGAACACCGAUGGCGAAAGGCAGGUCUCUGGGCCACUACUGACGCUGAGAAGCGAAAGCAUGGGGAGCGAACAGGAUUAGAUACCC